rnacentral:lncRNA from 1 species
UUCUUGCUUUAAUUUACUACACUUUAUAAACAUGAAAACAAAAUAAAAAGAGUGUGUAGAUAAGUGUGCUUUAUUUAUCUGCUAAGUUUAAUCUCUAGAAAAACAAAAAGACCAAAAAGAUGCAUGAUGGAAAUGAUGAACAGUUGCUCUGUUUGCUUACUUUCAAGUACAUAGCUUUUAUAUUAGAAUUCUUCCAGGAAUUACUAAAACUGAAAUUACUAUCUAUGGGAAUCAUAAAACUAAAGUUUAGGUAAGUGAAGGACAUAAUAUAAAGUUUGAGUUGUUGUUUAUCUUGUUCCUACUACACUAAGUUCUGGAGAUUUAUUUUGGAAACUUACAAAUCACAUGAUGAGUUCCUAGCAUAACAAACUACCUACCACAGCCAUACCUGCUAUAACAUCUUUUACUAUAUUUACAUUGAGUUUGAUCGAGCUGUGCCUUAGGAGCUUUUCAUGUGGUUAAAUUAAGAUAUUCACUUGCACACAUCUACUACACCAUCCACCACCACUUAUUAAAAAUGGCUAAAAAUAAUAUUAUCACUCACUGUCCCAAAUAUUGUUAUUCUCUCUCUCUAAAAAGAUUCAAUGCAGAAGAGGCAUGGGUUAUGCAAAAAUAUGCGAGGAAAUAAAAAGGGGCAAGUGCCCGAAACCUCGGAAAAGAAAAAAAAGUGAGACGAGAGCUAAAAAUGCCCACUUGAGCGGAAAAAAUGGACAAGUGUCCGACAGUAAAAUUAGAGGUAUCUACUACCCACCUAAAAAAAGAAGAAAAAGAAAGAAAAGAUAGCCCAUGUUCUCCCAAAGCAAAGAUCAAAGAGGAGGAGAGAUAGCAAUAUGAGGAGCAAUGAGAAGUAAGUUUUAUUAUCACUUAUAUAUCUUCACCAUCACUAUCAUUUACUCCGCCACACAUGCACAUCUUGAUUUAAUUAUAUGCUGAGUUCCUUUGGAUCCAUGCCUUGAUUAGACAACAUAUGUAUGAGCUGUUUUUCACUCCUAUGAGCUCCACUUAAAUAUUCCAUUAGCUAUAGGUAAGUGACAUUAUGGUAAGGAUCCAUAAAUACCACAUAUAGAGAGACUUGAGAGAAUCAUUGCUAGGAACUCUGAGUUUUAUUUUGAAAACUUAUGAAAAACUCUGGAACAAAGGUGAAGUAUAGACAGGAGAAAUAGUGCUUGACUUCUUUCGAUCACUUAAAACUUAAGUGCAGGUACUAAGCUCCAUAACACUUCACUAUAAUCUGGAAGAAUUUUUAUGUAAAAGCAUGUGUGCCUGUCAGGAAAGAAAACAUCAAAGCAACUCCUGAUCCGUCUGAGUUUAGCUAUUUGCUCAGGGACGAGCAAAGGGUAAGCUUGGGGGAGUUUGUUGACGGUCCUUAAGUACUAAAAUUAAUAAUCAAAUAAACAUGAAAAAGGAUCAAUAUGAAACAAACAUCUAGAAUUAGGGUUUUAUCUGACAGAAUUCCACGAGCUUUAAUGUUUAUCUAUUUCUGCAGGGGGUUAUCAGAGAAUAUGGAGAGAAGGCCCACAUGUCAUGUUUACAACGAGAUAAUUACGUGCCGCGCAAUUUUCUUCAAUCUAGAAGAGUCCAGAAGCCACGGGAACGAACGAGAAGAGAAUCGGGCUCGGGGGCAGGGCGGCCGCCCACCCCCCUUGGGCGCCCGCCCAGGGUUGGAUCUCAAUCAGGACUCUACUUCGGGGCUAAACUCCACCGACCUAAAGGAUCAAUCUAAACCACACAAUCAAUGUCGGUUUGAUCUGACGGCCCAGAUUCACUUGAAGGGACUAUAAAACCAAGGCCUCUCCCCCCCCUGGAGGAGAGAGGAGAAGAGAAGAAAUCAUUAUGCAGAGGUAGCCAUCAAAGUUAGGGUUUAGAGCUUCUCUCCCACAGAGAAUUAGAAUUCAAGUUUAGAGGUUUGAUUAGAUGCAAUUAGAGAAGUAGAGCACUACGCUCUGGAUUCGGAUCUUCGGUAAUAAAGAUUGGUAUUAUUCAUAUCUUUCUCUAAUUCUUUGUUCUAAUUGCAUUAUGUCUCUAAUUAUUAUGUUCUUAGUUUGCUCUAGUUCUAUAUUUGAUAUAGUUCUAAUUGAUAAUGAUUUUAUGUAUAAGUUUGCAAAGCGCUUAGCUCUUGACGCGAGGGAGUUAGGUGAUAGAUCACAUGUGAGCGUGGUGCUUAGAUGUUAUUUAUUUGCAAAUGUAUCCUAUUGGUCGGGUUGUGUGGUAGUUUGUGAUAGUGACAGCUUCGUUGAUUCUUAUAUAGUCCACCCUCCGUUGAUAGGAUAGGCAGAACCGGUAUUGUGCAGUAAAUCUUGCGAUGCUCUGAUUUACUUUAGCAAUGUUCCUUAUACAUGAAUGAAGAGUCUUUUAUGCUAUAUAUGAUCUUGUAGAUAACUAGAGUAGAUUAUGACUUAGUAGUUAGUAGAUAACUUAGAAUCCAUUCUCUAGCUAAUCCGACAUCACCUACAUAUAUGAGGAGUAGUCUAUUUUCUAAUCGCUGUGUUAUUUAUCCCUUGAACUUAUAAUUCAUUAUCAUUAUCUUUAUGGUUUACCCCCUGCUAAAGUAAGUGACUGUGUGACGAGUUUCUCAUUAGUAAUCAUGUUCUUGCAAGUUUAUCUCUAGUCUAUGCCUUUAUAGAUUUUGACAUUAUUAUAAUUUUACCCCUUGUCUUCUUAAGCAAAAUUAUAAAUAACGAUACCUAGAAUACUUAUCCUGGUGAAAUGCUACAAUGAGGUGUUUUAUUUGUGCGCUUGCGGAUAGAAUAGAUUAUUUUCUAGAGAGCCUUUACAUUUAUAAAUACCUUUGUACAGUCUGGCAUCAUGCUAGGGAUGACAACCUAGUAUUCAAGUGGUGUUAGCUAGUGUCAACAGUCAUAUGAGCUAAAAUGUUGCAUAUUUAAUCUUUGGGAAGAUAUAAAGAAAAAGACAUAUAUAUAGAUAGAUUAUCUUUCCAUUAGGUUGAGCGAUCUGAUCCGGCAAAUGUUUGAAAUACUACACUCAUGAACUUAUCAUUCAUUAACUUUGUCUUGCUCACCAUGCUUAAGGUUAGAGAAGAACAAAUACACUUUUGGUUCUGUUGGUGUUUUUCACCAACAGGGCCCAUGCACUUGAUCUCUGCCUUGUCUCUAUGAGCAGGUACACUAUGAGCACAAACACACUGAGCAAGAUACUGCCAAUGCCGCACUUUGAACUGCUGGGCAAACAAAGAACAUGGGUGACACCGUAUUAAGAGGUGCAGACGGCAAGGUCCACACCUGAAUCAAAUGACGCACUUGAAGAAUGAACACGGUGAGAAGUCUUGUUCACAAGACUUAAAACAUUGAAUCCUCGCCGAAAGGUAAAGUCAGUAGUUAUCUAUAUUUAUCCUUUCUGCAUUCCCUUUUUCCUUUAAUUACUUACUUUCCUUAAAUAGCUUAUUAGUUAAUCAUGCUAUCUUGAAAAGAAAAUAAAAAUAUUAAAAAUACUAAGCCCCAUGUGAGUAUGCUCGUGGCAUAAAACCCAUAAGUACAUUCACUGUGGUGGCGUAAAAAUAAAAUAAAUAUAUUCCUAUUCUAUAGAAAUGAAAUAUAAAAAUAAAUUUAUGAUCCUACCAAAGAGAGUAAUAUUUAUUAGAGGAAGCUCAACAUGAUAAAGGCAAAGAGAUUUUUAUACUAACACUUAACUAGUUCCACAAAGCUUUGUUGUCUAUUUGAGCUCCACAGAAUUCAAGGAUCAAAAAAGACUAGCAGACGGAGGACAUCCUAAUCGCUGUGAGGGUGCUGCCGACAUUCAAAUACACCUCCAUCACCUGCUAGCUACAUUAGAAGAAAUUACGUCAAAAUCCAGCUUGGGGGAGAGCACCCCCAUUUAUCCAGCUAAGUGUUUCUACUCGCGUUUAUACUUUACUCAAAUAAUAAAAAGAUGCAUAAUCAUAAAAACCCAAAUAAAGAUUUUAUGCUUAUAUAUAUGCUUAGUUUGCUAAAUAAAUAAAUAAAUAAAGUUUGCUAUGAACCCUCAUGAUAGGAAUGAUGAAUAGUUGCUCUGCCAUGACUAGUUCUCAAAAUUAAAAUCUCUCUCAAAGUUUAGGCAUGACUGUUAUGAAUUAAGAUUUGCUCUAAACCUAAACUCGUGGGAAGAGUACUUGAUCUAAAGUCUAAGUCGUUAACGGAUAUGAUAUGGGAAGGUUGAGCUGCUGUUUAUCUAUUCCUAGAGAUGCUAGAAUUCUGGAGAAUUUUAUUUUUGAAAAUCUUUAAAAUGUUGCAUGAUGGGUUCCUGUAUGAUGAGAGUUUAAAAUCCUACCACAGCCACAUAUACAUGCUUAUGAGACUAUGAACCAUACAUUUACUUUUUACUGCUUAUGAGCAUUGAGUGUGGUCAAGCUAUGUAGACCCUUAGGAGCUUGUCAUGCGGUUAUAAUCAAGAUUCACUUGCACGUCCACUCAUACAUGCUGCUUCUACUCCAGAAGUAUGCAUCCACAUACAUCCACUCAUUUCCAUCUCGAGAUUCACCCAAAAUUAUUCUACUCCUAUCCAGGAGAGAAUAGCCAACAACAUUAUCCUAUCCCUGUUAUUCCCCGUGAAAUAAAUGCUCGAGCUAUUUUGGUUACUACCACUUGCUACAUUAUUCCAGGAGGGUGAGUGCUCUGAAAAAAAGAAGAAAAAUACGAGAAAAUAAAAAGGGGCAAGUGCCCGGAACCUCGAAAGAAAAAAAGAAAAAGUGAGACGAGAGGUAAAAAUGGACAAGUGUCCGACAGUAGAAUUAGGGGUACAAGAUACCCACCUGAGAGAAAAGAAAAAAAAUAUAUAGAGCGUCUCAUUCCUCUCAAAAACCUUCAAAGUGCAAGAAAGGUAUGUAUCCCCUCAAAAGAGCAAAAGUAGAAUUAGACUUUCACCAUUAUUUUCACCAUUAUCACCAUCAUCACCAUACACCAUUCAUCCGCCACACAUGCACAUCUUGGUUUGACUUAUUGACUUGUUUCUCUGGAUCCAUAGUUUGACUAUGUAAUAAAUGUCUUGUAAGUAUGUAUUAGCUGUCUCCCACCUAUGAGCUCCAGAUAUCAAACCUUAUUAGAGUAGGGUGAGAGAGAAGGCAAUAUCACUAUGCCUCAUACCACAAAUACUACAUACUUUGAGAGAAGGCGUAUAUUAUCACUGCCUUGGUAAGGAUCCAGAAAUACCACAAAAGAGAGACUAGAGAGAGUCAUACAAGGAAUCUCUGAGUUUUAUUUGAAAAUCUACAAAAACUCCAGAGCUAUAGUUGAUCAAAGAACAAGAGAUAUGGUGCUUGACUAGACUGUUCUAUCUUUUAACUACUCAAGACGGAAGAGACGGUUACAAGUCCCAUGGUAAAAGGUAAAGUAAGUAAGUUUUAAGUCUUGACAGUUUACCCUAGAGAUGAGAUCUUGUUUAAAUGCAUGUGUACCUUUAAGGCAUAAAACCACUCCAGAAACUCUUGAGUCCAUCAUUGCUCAGGGACGAGCAAGAGGUAAGCUUGGGGGAGUUGUUGACGGUCCUUAAGUACCAAAUAUAAUCAGCAAAUAAAGAAAGAAAAGGAUCCAAAUACAACCAACAUCUAAACUUAGGGUUUUAUCUGACAGAAUUCCACAAGUUUUGGUGUUUGUCUAUUUCUGUAGGGGGUUAUCAGGAAAUAUGGAGAGAAGGCCCACAUGUCGGGUUUACAUAGAAAUAUUAACGUGCCGCGCAAUUUGCUAUCAUCUAGAAGACUCCAGAAGCCACGGGAAUGAAACGGAAGCCGAGAGGGCUUAGGGACAGGGCGCCUGCCCAAGUCCUUAGGGCGCCCGCCCACCUAUUUCGGCCAAUCACGCUCAAUCUCGCGGAUUAUGCUCCACCGACCUAAAGGAUCAAGAAUAACCGUUCAAUCAAUGUCGGUUUGAUCCGACGGCCCAGGUUCACUUGAGGGGGCUAUAUAACCAAACCCCCUGGCCCCUCGAGGAGGCACCCCUUGAUCAUUAUUCAUUAUUCAUAGACAGAGCAAAAGCUAGGCUUUAGAGAUGAGAGCUCUCCUCUCUUCUCUAAACUAGAGUAGAUCUAGAUAGUAGCGAGAUGGAGAGUGAAGGAGGAUUAGAGGAGAGGCC